UUGGAGUCCUUUCCUUGUGUGAAUCGAGAUGCCCGUCAUGAGUGGUCUUUUCUUUCACCCGUACAAUUAUCCAUGAAGCAGCAGAAUGUUUGAAGAAACUCAAGAUUUUCCCUUAGCUCAGGUCUAAAUAAGGCACGUCUGAAAUCUUAAGGGGCUGAUUACCUCUCGAACUGUUAAGGAAAAUAUGGAUUUCCCUUGAUCUUGUCCUUAGCUUGCCAUCUCGAACUGAAAUCUUGUUUGGGGAGCUGGUAGCCUUAUCGUCCCCUUUUUCCAAAGGAGGAAAGACAGUUUUUGCAGGGAUAAGGUUCUCUACCACCAUCUCACUAGCAGCGUCCAUGUUGGGUAAUUCCAUGACAUCACUCUGAACAAGUGAACAUCAUUCCUAAACAACCUGUUAGAUUCUAGGCUGAUAGCAGACUUGUUGAUCUUCCCCUUUUUGUUGAAGAAGACAUGUGACAGAUCGGAGUCUUUAGUGCCUCUCUUGCCCGUGAGCUUGCUAGCUUUACUUCUUAGGCCCUCCAUCUUCUCCAAUUCACGGCAGAUGUCCUGGUUGUUACACUAGUAGAAAAAGUCUCUUUUACCGUUCUACAUUUGCUUCGGCGAGUUAGAAAACCGUAGCAUUUUUAAUAAAAUACUACGGUUCAAUUGCUUAACCUUAACGUUUGUUUAGUAAAUAAUUUUUUUUUUUUUAAAAAAAAAAAAAAAAAACGCCUCACCCUCUUUUCUUCCCUCUCUCUCUUAUGUUACGGUAUUCUAGAACACAUACUCUCUCUCUCCCCCUUUCUUCUCAGAUCUGGCUUCAAGGGAAAUCAAGAAAUGAAAGUGUUUCUUCCUAAGAUCUUGAAAGGAAAAGAGAAGCCAUACAAAGUUGAUAAAGAUGGAAAUAGAGGGGUACUGGUACAAUACAACAACUUUUCUAAAGCAUAUCUGAUUCAGAGUAUCCUUACCAAGAUGUUGCAGAGCUACUGUCAAAUAUGGUAUCCAGCCACAUUUUGAGUCACAGCUGAAGUUGCUUUUGCCUUAUAUUGUUUCUACCUCAAUGCAAAAAAGUCAAUUUUGAUGGUAUAGGUAAGGUACUUAUUGCACAUCCUAGUAGAUUUAUUAUGCCUUCUUCAUCACUGUCUUACAGCAUGGACCGUGUAUAUUAUAUUUUCUUAGAUGCUACUCGUCACUAAUCAAUACUUUGAGUCUUACCUCUGACAACAACCCACUUAAACAUAAAAUGACUUCCAACCCUAUCCUUUUGGUAAUAAAGCUGUGAUUUUGUUGUUGGCUUGCUUAAAUGAGUCAUACUCCCAGAGUUUACCUGCUCUUGGUUGAAUAUCUUCAUUCGUGAUAGAAACAAUGAUUAGACAGGAUAGUGGGGAGACUAUUGUGUUGAUCUUUGUCAUCUUGCUUUAGAACAUGAAUAAAUAUUGAUCAUGCUGACACUGAAAAUACAUAUAUUUUCCAGUUAUGAGACUUAUAACUCUUCACAAGUUGGCCAAAUUCUAUUGAAGCAUGUUAUUUAGCUUGGUGGCCAUUCCUUAUGCUCUAAUCUACCCACUCCUCUCCUUUAUCUUUCUUUUGAAUCAUAUAUUAAUUUGUUAGUUUAUGAUAGUAAGAUAUCUUAAUGCAAGGGGUCAGUCCCCUUUUGUUGUUUUCUCAUCUUCUCUAAUAGAAGUAAAAAUAUCAGCUAGUUCUAUACUUUUGCUAAUAUUGUUAAUCUAACUGCCAAGAUUGAUGUUGAUCAUAGCUUCAGCAUUUGAUGAAAUCCCCUAGUUUUAUCUUAUUGCUGACAUAUUUUUCUUGAAAGAAUGUUUUGUGUUUUCCAGACUAGUCAAAGAUGACCAGCAUGUAUCAUUCUGAACAACAACCGCAAAGGUUAUUUAAUAUUUCUCCCCUCUUGUUGCAUCAGAUUGUAGUAUGAAAAAUGGCUUUGUGCUUGUGACUUCCCUUUAUUAUUACUAAUGAUCUUAAAUCCCUUUCAGUGUAUCAAUGGCUUUGUGCUUGUGUCUUGUGUCGCCAUCACAGUCUCGUUCUUUUUCAACUUUGUGUUUAUCUAUGAUUCUUUUUGGACUUGAAAGUUUCAUUUUUAUGAACUUUCAAUUAUUUUGUUUUGUUGUUAUCUUUUGAGUUCUGAUUCUCUAUUUUUAUAGAUUUGGUUAUAUAGGACAUAUGUGCUUGUUACUUGAGUUGUUCGUUCAGACGAUGCUGCUCAGAUUAUGCCAGUGCAACUGCUGUCCCAUAUAUAUGUUGAUGCUGCUAUUUUCGAUAGUCAUUGCUGCUGUUGAAGGCUUGUAGGAGUUGUAGCUGAUGUUUUCUUUUGUUGCAUAGGGCUGUCAGCCUAAUUUUAGACUUCUUUUUCUUUGUAGUAAAUUACAAUUUAUAAUUAAUACAAAUUCUAUUAGAAUAGUUUGUUUUAUGUA